GCCUACGGGCAGCAGUGGGGGAUAUUGCACAAUGGGGGGAACCCUGAUGCAGCGACGCCGCGUGGGUGAAGAAGUAUUUCGGUAUGUAAAGCCCUAUCGGCAGGGAAGAAAUUGGACGGUACCUGACUAAGAAGCCCCGGCUAACUACGUGCCAGCAGCCGCGGUAAUACGUAGGGGGCAAGCGUUAUCCGGAUUCACUGGGUGUAAAGGGAGCGUAGACGGCCAUGCAAGCCUGGAGGGAAAGCCCGGGGCCCAACCCCCGGACUGCUCUGGGAACU
rnacentral:rRNA from 1 species